rnacentral:tmRNA from 1 species
GUGUUCCUGCUGGCUUGAAUUCGCGCCCGCCUCCCCCCAUAAUGACGGCACGGUCGUAAUUCCGGCAAACCGGAAGCGUUCUGGACGCGGGUUCGAUUCCCGCCACCUCCACCACUGGGGGGGUGUACUGGCUUCGACAGGGCGACAGAUGGCGAGCAGGCGGCCCGAAAGGCGACGGACGUAAUCCGCGCAAAUCCACAAACGCCAACGAUGAGCGUUUUGCACUGGCCGCCUAAGGCCUAUGCCGAGGCCGCUUUAGCCUUGUAACCAAAGAAAAGCCGGCGGGGACCUUCGGGUUCCCGCCGUCA